rnacentral:misc_RNA from 1 species
AAUGGAUAAGACCUGGUCUUAGUGUAUACGAGUUUUUUUGAAAUGAAAGAAAAAGGAGCAAUAAACUCUUUCUUGUUCUAUCAAGAGGGUGACAUUGCUCCUUUUUCUUUUUUAUUGCUAAUAUAGCAAUAGUAGUAUUUGACUUACUUAGUUUCUUUAAACAAAAUGAAAUAAAGGUCGUUUUCUUUUUCUUGGUUGAUUCGUGAGUGAGUAUCAUACUUUUUCCGUAUUCAUAAUUAAUUAAUUAAUCUAUAAUUUGGUUAUCUCCUUCCUGAUUCUUWGGAAAGUCUUUUCUUUUAUCUUUUAUUUAAUUUUAAUAUUAAUUUUAUAUUAAAAAAUGAAUUAUAUAUUAUAUUAAAUUAUAUUAAUCAAUUAAUAAUAAAUUUAAAAAUAUAUUAUAUUAAAAAAAUAGUAUAAUUUGGUUUUA